AUGCGUGCAUAGCAUAUGUAAAAAUCAGCUGUGAUAGACUGCUGAUUUUAUAAGCUUGCCUGGGUUUACUUUAUUAUAGGAAAGAGUCGACCUGCUUUGGUUGAUGCCAAAGUCUUAGCCAAAUUGAGAAAUACAGCUGAAGAAAUACUUAAUGAAUACAAUGCUAUGUGAAAAUGAUUUGUGAAGGCCAUGUUUCUUCACAGAAGAAAGGCUCUAAAACCAAUUGGACAUUUAUUUUUAAUUUUACAUUUGUGUUCAUUUCAGAGCAAAGCUGAUAGAUCACUUGGAAAUAACUAGUGGUGUUUCUGCAAGCAUAUCAAUGGUUGAGCAUGUGCAGUGAUCUCUAACAUCUGUUUUUUGCAGGGAAUGGCUUUCCAGGACUGGUUAGCUUAUUUUGCACAUCAGCCAUUCCUAGAACAUUUUUUACCUGGUUGUGAAGUCUAUCCAUGUUGCUUUCUCAGCUGAGCUGAUUUAAAUGCAACAGUUUUCACUGUGUAUGUUAUAGCAUCUAUUGCAGGCUUUACUGAAGGCCCCUGGUGAGCUCAUUAACCUGUUAGCAUUUCAGUAAUUACAAAAUGUUGAGUGCUUUGCCCAGUACUGCACCUCUUCAUUAAUUGUGUUGCAAAAUACAUGUUGGCCUCCAUCACCAUUGCACAGGCUUAUAUAAACCUUAUUGAACUUUUUGUUGCAUUUAUAUAGUGCUGAGCACCAUGGUGUCCUCUUCUCCAAAUGCUGCCUCAGGGCAAGCAAAAAAUCACAAGUGAGCAGUCAAUCUGCACUUUCUGAAUGCCUGUUACCUUCUCGCAGGCCCUCUGUAGAUGUCUUGCUCAGAGGAUGCCAGAAUGGGUUGUCUUUGUGGCCCUCAGCUCACUGGGGACACCAGGAACAUGCUGACUCAGCAUCAGGGCAUCCAUACUAGCUUUCAAGACUGUAUUCAGGAUAUGGUGAUUCUCAUGCAGCACCUACUGUGUUAUACACUAUUGUGUAAUCAAAACCUAAAGGCCAGACUUUGAAUUUGUGUGGAAAUGGAAUAUUGAACAUUAAUUAGUCUGAAAGUGAAAAUCUGAAGAAGAGGAAUAAAGUCAAGAACGUUUGGAAACCACAGAAAUGAGGAGUGUCCUGAAUGUCAUCUGCAGUGUACUACGUGAGAUUGCAGCAGAUUCAGUUAAGAUCACCAAAUCUCUGCUCAUUUGGUCUAAGCUCAAAAUAAGCACUAUUUUCAGAGCAAAAGAAAGUGACUGAAGGAGUCUUGCUUGUCAACAUUCAACAUGAAAUUUUUGUAACAUAUUUGUUCUCAUUAAAUAAUAAACAUUCCAUUAAAGAACAAUAUAAAAUCA